ACGAACGCUGGCGGCGUGCUUAACACAUGAAAGUCGAACGGAAAGGCCCUGCUUUUGUGGGGUGCUCGAGUGGCGAACGGGUGAGUAACACGUGAGUAACCUGCCCUUGACUUUGGGAUAACUUCAGGAAACUGGGGCUAAUACCGGAUAGGAGCUCCUGCUGCAUGGUGGGGGUUGGAAAGUUUCGGCGGUUGGGGAUGGACUCGCGGCUUAUCAGCUUGUUGGUGGGGUAGUGGCUUACCAAGGCUUUGACGGGUAGCCGGCCUGAGAGGGUGACCGGCCACAUUGGGACUGAGAUACGGCCCAGACUCCUACGGGAGGCAGCAGUGGGGAAUAUUGCACAAUGGGCGGAAGCCUGAUGCAGCAACGCCGCGUGCGGGAUGACGGCCUUCGGGUUGUAAACCGCUUUCGCCUGUGACGAAGCGUGAGUGACGGUAAUGGGUAAAGAAGCACCGGCUAACUACGUG
rnacentral:rRNA from 1 species